rnacentral:lncRNA from 1 species
GAUGGGGCUUCUGGCAUCUGAAAGGCAAGACUUAACUCUCAUUGUGAGACAUAGUCUCACAGCCUAGCACUGCUAUAACUUGUGGCAGACCUAGUGCUGAGAUUACAGACAUCUACUGCCACACCCAGCAAAGGACAGGGACUUCUGAAUCUGCCUUCCCUGUCAUGGGUGUUCUGGGAGGGGUGGGCAGGCUGGAGGAGGAGUGCAAGCAUGACCAAGGCAGAGCAGCACGGGUCCGCCCAGUGCUGUAGAUACUGCCGGCCUUUCCAGGACUGUGGACGUGUGAGCCUCUGUGUCCUGGUUGGCUUUGGUGUCCAAGGCUUGCCUGUCCAUGCAGAUACACAAGCUGCUGCAGAUAUCGGUGCUGGUGGUGGAGCUGCUAGACUCAGGCUCCUCUGUCCUUGUGAGCCUGGAGGAUGGCUGGGACAUCACCACUCAGGUAUGUGGCGGGUUCAGGGAAGGGGUGGGGGAGGGUCCUCAGAUGCCUUUCUGACAUCUGUGGUGCUGGCAGGUGGUAUCCUUGGUGCAGCUCCUCUCAGACCCCUUCUACCGCACUCUGGAAGGCUUCCGCCUGCUAGUGGAAAAGGAGUGGCUGUCCUUUGGCCAUCGUUUCAGCCACCGUGGGGCCCACACCCUAGCUGGGCAGAGCAGUGGCUUCACACCCGUCUUCCUGCAGUUCCUGGACUGUGUACACCAGGUGGGUAGAUUUCCAUGUAGGUAGGCUGAGCUGUGCUCCC